AAUGGGGGAAACCCUGACGCAGCAACGCCGCGUGGGUGAUGAAGGCCUUCGGGUCGUAAAGCCCUGUCGGGAGGGAAGAAAUGAUUGAGAGCUAAUACCUCUUGGUCUUGACGGUACCUCCGAAGGAAGCACCGGCUAACUCCGUGCCAGCAGCCGCGGUAAUACGGAGGGUGCAAGCGUUGUUCGGAAUUAUUGGGCGUAGAGCGCGUGUAGGCGGUCUUUUAAGUCUGAUGUGAAAGCCCCGGGCUCAACCUGGGAAGUGCAUUGGAAACUGGGAGACUUGAGUACGGGAGAGGAGAGUGGAAUUCCUAGUGUAGGAGUGAAAUCCGUAGAUAUCUGGAGGAACACCGGUGGCGAAGGCGGCCACCUGGACGGUAACUGACGCUGAGGUGCGAAAGCGUGGGUAGCAAA
rnacentral:rRNA from 1 species